rnacentral:rRNA from 1 species
UACGUAGGGUGCAAGCGUUGUCCGGAAUUAUUGGGCGUAAAGAGCUCGUAGGCGGUUUGUCGCGUCUGCUGUGAAAACUCGGGGCUUAACCCCGGGCCUGCAGUGGGUACGGGCAGACUAGAGUGCGGUAGGGGAGACUGGAAUUCCUGGUGUAGCGGUGAAAUGCGCAGAUAUCAGGAGGAACACCGAUGGCGAAGGCAGGUCUCUGGGCCACUACUGACGUGAGAAGCGAAAGCAUGGGGAGCGAACAGG